CGUCCCCUGCGGUAUGCGUGAGUCGAUUGGGAUAUUCUUGAGCCGAUAAACACAUCCCCGGGAGCCGAGAUUCGGUGUUGUGUGCAAGUCCGGCCCCGACCGGAAAGCCUGAUACACCGGAAGACGCUCCCACCUUGAACCCCUGGUUCAAGACGAAAAUCACCACGGUACAGGCGGGGGC
rnacentral:other from 1 species